rnacentral:lncRNA from 1 species
AGGUGCAAAAUGAAAUAAAUCAUUCUGCCCCUGCACCUUCGGUGGCGGCAGAAGUUCCCGCACAAGUACAGCAACCUGCAGCGGUGACCAUGGAGUAGUUCAACCUAUUUUUUUAGUAGGUGCAGUAACUCACAGCUGUCGUUCAGGCAGCGAUCUAACCUCCGUCGACACCAUGAUAGGCGAAUCAAUUUCCAAAUCUCUCCAACCCAGUGAUUAGCAGC